rnacentral:tRNA from 1 species
CGCGGAGUAGAGCAGUGGUAGCUCGUCGGGCUCAUAACCCGGAGGUCGCAGGUUCGAGUCCUGUCUCCGCAA